AUAGGUUUUUCAUUGGAACGCGGGUGCGCACUAGAGGGCAGUGGGUGUGUGUGCAUUUGUAAUUAAAAAAAAGAGUAUACCCAAUUUCCUCAAAAUAAAUAUGAAAAUUACUAAUGCGCCCCUCGAGCCCUAAGCUAAUCCUCUUCCUUCUUCCUCUGCCCGUUACCCUGACGGCGGAAUCAUUCCACGCAUCUUGCUGUGUCUGAAGGUCUCCCACCACCACCGAGCGCUCUCCGCCGGCCCAACGCGCCUCCGUCCAGGCGUCUUCUCCUUCCGCCAGAGCGCGCAACGCCACCUCUCCUCGUUGUCUCCUUCGAAUAUACCAUGGAGAUCAAACCGAUGGUAGCACUGCGUGCUACCCUAGUUGGUGGUGUAGCAGCAUUUGCGAAGGUUGCUGGGGCGAUGAAAGCUGCAGGAGGUGUGAAGGUUGGUGCAGCUGCUGCAGCUGUGACAGCCACAGCAUCUGCUGCGAUAUCUGGAAAAGACACAAAUAAAGAUAUCCCAAAGCCGGAAACAAAAUGACAUGCCAUGAAUUGGUGGAGAGGUGCGGUACAAGAAUGCCCCUCCAGAGCUGCAGAAGAGAAAGGAUGUCAAGAUCAAUAAGUUACCGGAGCAAAUUUUUCAUGCUCCAUGUGUUUUAUAUUGGGAAUAAGAAUCACAAUGUCUAGUUUUCCCCUAAUUAUGAACUUGUGCCAUGCAGUAGUUUCGGUUGCUCAAUGUGACGAGCUACCCGUUGCUCUGUCUGUAUGCCUAGCCUGAUUUCUGCUGCCACAUUCUGGGGCGUGAUGCAUCAGUCAUACUCUGUUUGUACUAUUCAGGGAGAUCCUGAAGUUUCUGUGCAGCUUCAUGGGUAAAAUCCUAGUGAUUUACAUCAGCAUAUGCACAACUGAAAUGUAGAAUAUUGUUAGUGUAACUCUGCGACAGGUUUGUAUC